rnacentral:tRNA from 1 species
GCCUGAGAGCUUAGCCUGGUUAGAGCGCCAGACCUCCAAUCUGGAGGUCGCGGGCUCGAAUCCCGCCCCCGGCA